GUUGCUAUGGCAAUGGUAAACUGUCAUGGCGCUAGUGGGCUUGUCUUAUGAAGAGGGGCUUUUCUUUCUUUCCUGUUUCAGCCUGUCUUCAAUCUGGUCCUGACUCUAGUUCCAUGUCCUACCUCUCUUUAAUACCCUCAGAAAACUUGUAAGUUUAUACAUACUAAGAAAACCCCUUUCUCACAUUGUAAAACCUGAGAUGGAAGUCAAUAAAUUAAUGAUGUAUAUACCUCCAUCAGGAAAGGACAAAAAGGAAAGAAGAAGAAAUGAGCUUUAUGAAAUUCAUAUACUGUUGAGUUUUCCCUUCCAUGGAUUUAGGACAAAUUAUUUUAGGUAAGACUAAGUUGAAAUUCUUUAUCAACCUAUUUAGUCUGUUUACAAAGUUUCUGUAUAAAAG
rnacentral:lncRNA from 13 species